UGACCGCUGAGGCGCGAAGGCGUGGGGAGCAAGCAGGAUUAGAUACCCUGGUAGUCCACGCAGUAAACGAUGAACACUAGGUGUAGCGGGUAUUGACCCCUGCUGUGCCGCAGUUAACGCAUUAAGUGUUCCGCCUGGGGAGUACGACCGCAAGGUUAAAACUCAAAGGAAUUGACGGGGGCCCGCACAAGCGGUGGAGCAUGUGGUUUAAUUCGACGCAACGCGAAGAACCUUACCUGGAUUUGACAUCCCGGGAAGUCCCUUGAAAAAGGGAUGUGCCCUUCGGGGAACCCGGUGACAGGUGCUGCAUGGCUGUCGUCAGCUCGUGUCGUGAGAUGUUGGGUUGAGUCCCGCAACGAGCGCAACCCCUAUCUUUAGUUACCAUCAUUAAGUUGGGGACUCUAAAGAUACUGCCCCGGUUAACGGGGAGGAAGGUGGGGAUGACGUCAAGUCCUCAUGGCCUUUAUGUCCAGGGCUACAUACGUACUACAAUGGGCUAUACAAAGGGUCGCAACCCCGCGAGGGUGAGCCAAUCCCACAAAGUAGCUCUAAGUCCGGAUUGGAGUCUGCAACUCGACUCCAUGAAGUUGGAAUCGCUAGUAAUCGUGGAUCAGCAUGCCACGGUGAAUACGUUCCCGGGCCUUGUACACACCGCCCGUCACACCAUGAGAGUUGGUUGUACCAGAAGUCGUUGGGCCAACCCCGUUAUGCGGGGAGGCAGGCGCCUAAGGUAUGGCUGAUGGUUGGGGUG
rnacentral:rRNA from 1 species